rnacentral:misc_RNA from 1 species
GAUGAAGAACGCAGCGAAAUGCGAUAAGUAAUGUGAAUUGCAGAAUUCAGUGAAUCAUCGAAUCUUUGAACGCACAUUGCGCCCCCUGGUAUUCCGGGGGGCAUGCCUGUCCGAGCGUCAUUGCUGCCCUCAAGCACGGCUUGUGUGUUGGGCCCCGUCCUCCGAUCCCGGGGGACGGGCCCGAAAGGCAGCGGCGGCACCGCGUCCGGUCCUCGAGCGUAUGGGGCUUUGUCACCCGCUCUGUAGGCCCGGCCGGCGCUUGCCGAUCAACCCAAAUUUUUUAGCCAGGUUGACCUCGGAUCAGGUAGGGAUACCCGCUGAACUUAAGCAUAUCAAUAAGCGGAGGA